GACAGAGUCAACGCCCGGCCCUGGCCCCGCCUCCUGAGCACUUCUCCGGGUCUGGUCUUAGCCCCGCCCCAAGACCUGUCUCCUGGACUCUGCUCCGAGUCUCGCCUCCUGAACCCAAUCAUCAUUUACCCCCACCCUAACGCCCGCCUCCGGGACUCUUAUCCUGCCCCCACGCAAGGCCCCGCCUCCAGGACGCCUCCAACCUGGACGCUUCCGAAGCCCCACUUCCAGGAUCGCCCUAUCCUGGCCCCACCCCAGGACCCACCAACCUGAACUCUCCCGAGGACCUGCCCCAACGACGCUUAUCCUGGCCCUACCCCAGGCCUCGUACUCAUGAUGCUCAUCCUGGCCCCACCCCAGGCCCCGGCCUCAUAACUCUCAUCCUGGCCCCGCCCUAGAGCCACCCCCGCGACUCUCCUCCUGACCCUACCCCCAGGCCCCGCCCCCUCUCUGCCCCGGCGCACUGCCCUGGGCCCGCCCCCCUCUUCAGUCCAGGCCCGGCUUCCGCCCAGUCUCCCGGCAACGCUGCGGCCCCGCCCCCGUCAUGGCGCCCGAGGAGAACGCGGGGAGCGAACUCUUGCUGCAGAGUUUCAAGCGCCGCUUCCUGGCGGCGCGCGCCCUGCGCUCCUUCCCCUGGCAGAGCUUAGAAGCAAAGUUAAGUGACCCAUCAGAUUCUGAGCUUCUAUGGGAUAUUUUGCAGAAGCACGAGGCUGUCCACACAGAGCCUUUGGACGAGCUGUACAAGGCACUGGCGGAGACCCUGAUGGCCAAGGAGUCCACCCAGGGCCACCGGAGCUAUUUGCUGAUGUGCUGUAUUGCCCAGAAGCCAUCGUGUCGCUGGUCGGGGUCCUGCGGAGGCUGGCUGCCUGCCGGGAGCACCAGCGGGCUCCUCAAGUCUACAUGGCCCUUACCGUCCGCAACCCAGAGACGUGCCAGCUGUUCACCACCGAGCUAUAGAGCACUUGGAGAUGGCAAUGCUGAACCUCACACUGUAGGACUCACACACGACUCCAACGGGAUUGUGAGAAUUAAGUCACUCUCGUGGGAAGAAUUUUUAUAUGGGAAAGCGGAUAAAACUUUCAUUGGACUGGAAUGUUUGGAGAAUGUUAAAUUCCAAAUCAGGAACCACAAACUGCCCUCUAAUAAGACAUCGGCUAUCUAA